rnacentral:rRNA from 1 species
CCGAAGUCGGUGAGGCAACCUUUUAGGAGCCAGCCGCCGAAGGUGGGGCAGAUGAUUGGGGUGAAGUCGUAACAAGGUAUCCCUACCGGAAGGUGGGGAUGGAUCACCUCCUUUCUAAGGAG